rnacentral:rRNA from 1 species
UACAGAGGGGGCAAGCGUUAUUCGGAAUUAUUGGGCGUAAAGAGCUCGUAGGCGGCUUGUCACGUCGGGUGUGAAAGCCCGGGGCUUAACCCCGGGUCUGCAUUCGAUACGGGCUAGCUAGAGUGUGGUAGGGGAGAUCGGAAUUCCUGGUGUAGCGGUGAAAUGCGUAGAUAUCAGGAGGAACACCGAUGGCGAAGGCAGGUCUCUGGGCUGACACUGACGCUCAUGCACGAAAGCGUGGGGAGCAAACAGG